CAAAAAGAAAGAGGGGGGGAAAAAAGAGUCUUCAAUUUGGAAAAAAGUCGACUCGACAGAAGAGCUGGUUUAUUACUGUAUACUCACUAUUGUGCAAACUCUUGAGAUCUUGAGAGGAGGAGGAGGAGGAUUAUGAAAAGGCACAUUUUCCCCCAGCAAAUACGGCAUAACAUUUGACAAUUUAGGCAUUGCUUUGCUAGGAGGUUGUUUAAGGACAGCAUAAGACAAAUGCCAUCGCACAAUCCUCUGCUUCGCACGGUCUGCACGCCAUGAUCCUACCUGUGGAGAAGAGAGGGUGUGUCACAAGGCCCCUGCGCAACAUGCUACCAGCUUCAGGAAAUCGACCUUAGAAGCCUACAACAGCAAAACUUACUAGUAAGGGCUACAUGACAAACAUUGUCAAUCAGCUGAGCCUAAAUACCGCCUUUCUCCGUAAAGACGCUUCCUGAUUGGUCGUGCGUACUUGAAGCAAUUUCCUUUUUCCACAUCCUGCUGCUGAGAAAGGUGUGGCCCACUACUGUGCAAAGGUCAUCUCCACGGUGAUAGAUGUGGGGUUAUCUCCAUGACGAUGGAUUGCAGGGGGUGUCGGUUGCCGAAGGUCGCACACCAAGGACGAGGCGAGAGUGAUUGCAGCCACCCAGACAGGAAAUCGAAGAGAAGCACUCGGAGGGGGACAGAGGAAAAAGAUGAAGUAGCCCUGAUUUGUGGACACAGAGGACACACGUCUCCAGUGAUAAGGACACUCAGUGGGACCGUCCCGGAUGAGCAGGCACAGAGGGGAAUGGUCGGGCUGAAUCUGCUGUAGCCCUGCCACACAAUUAGAUCUGCUGCUACCCUCAAGGUUGUUGAAUGUUUUGCACAAUGGGGGUCUCUGAGCAUUUUCUCAUGUUACUCAUACGGUAUAGACGGAACAAGCCACAGCUAAUACUUUUACCAUUCCCACAUCCAUUACUUAGCCAAAUCAUUUCAACCUAAACAAACAAGAUCAAGCAUUCCCAUUGCUCAUCUAAAAUGUACUUGACUUGAAUUGGUUGUGAAAUAUAUCUUCUGAAAUAUGUAUUAGUUUAUCCUAUUCAAAACAGACUUAAAAACAGGAAGAUGUUAUGUAGUCAGCUAUGUGAGAAGACGUGAGAGAAUGGCCAGAUUUUUUAAAAACCUGUCCGUCCUGUGGCAUGUCCAUUCACACGCUCCCUCUGUCACACCUCUCUCCUGUCACUCACACAAAGCACAAGGCAUGCUGGGAGCUCGGUUUCCAGGGCGACCGCGAGCCACCUUUCCCUGACAACAGUUCAGGAUGCAGAGCUUGAAGACAUUAGCUUGCACCUCAGGUGUGGCAAUACCACUGCCUAUAGCUCAGCCUUGUGCAGAACAAAGCAAGUGGAGGCAGCAGAGGAGCUUGUUAUGAAGCAACGGACGAGACAAAGCAAUGUCAAACAAAGCUGCAAAAUAUAGAAUCUCACUGUUACCCAUGCACAAAAUUAAGUAUACACUUUAUUUGCAUGUGUAUUCAAAUAUUUUUUCUUAAGACUAUGAAUAUAAUCACAGAGAACGUACAGCACUAAUAUGGUCCAGCUUUUGCAUAUAUUGUAAAUAUAUUAU
rnacentral:lncRNA from 1 species